rnacentral:rRNA from 1 species
ACUCCUACGGGAGGCAGCAGUGGGGAAUAUUGCACAAUGGGGCGCAAGCCUGAUGCAGCCAUGCCGCGUGUGUGAAGAAGGCCUUCGGGUUGUAAAGCACUUUCAGUCGUGAGGAAGGUAGUGUAGUUAAUAGCUGCAUUAUUUGACGUUAGCGACAGAAGAAGCACCGGCUAACUCCGUGCCAGCAGCCGCGGUAAUACGGAGGGUGCGAGCGUUAAAUCGGAAUUACUGGGCGUAAAAGCGCAUGCAGGUGGUUUGUUAAGUCAGAUGUGAAAGCCCGGGGACUCAACCUCGGAAUUGCAUUUGAAACUGGCAGACUAGAGUACUGUAGAGGGGGGUAGAAUUUCAGGUGUAGCGGUGAAAUGCGUAGAGAUCUGAAGGAAUACCGGUGGCGAAGGCGGCCCCCUGGACAGAUACUGACACUCAGAUGCG